rnacentral:rRNA from 1 species
AUUGAACGCUGGCGGCAGGCCUAACACAUGCAAGUCGAACGUGAAGCCACCUUCGGGUGGUGGAAAGUGGCAGACGGGUGAGUAACGCGUGGGAACGUGCCUUUCGGUUCGGAAUAACCCAGGGAAACUUGGGCUAAUGCCGGAUACGCCCUCCGGGGGAAAGAUUUAUCGCCGAAAGAUCGGCCCGCGUCGGAUUAGCUUGUUGGUGGGGUAAAAGCCUACCAAGGCGACGAUCCGUAGCUGGUCUGAGAGGAUGAUCAGCCACACUGGGACUGAGACACGGCCCAGACUCCUACGGGAGGCAGCAGUGGGGAAUAUUGGACAAUGGGCGCAAGCCUGAUCCAGCCAUGCCGCGUGGGUGAAGAAGGCCCUAGGGUUGUAAAUCCCUUUCAGCGGGGACGAUAAUGACGGUACCCGCAGAAGAAGCCCCGGCUAACUCCGUG